CUGCUGCUUGAGCCCCAAAUGGGGCAGAUGCAACUGGCAGUAGAAGUCAACGUUUCUUCUUCCCUCCCUCUUUCCCUACAGGCAACUUUCGUGGCGAUACCUGCAAGCCUGGGGGAUCUGGCCCUGCUGAGUGUCACCUCCACGCAUCCAAGACCACAAAGAACUGCAGCUCUUCCAUCCUGGUACCGAGCAGCGGUUAAUUGAAGGUCUUGGCCCGGCUGCGUAAAGUUUUGCUAACGGCUGAAACUUCAAUAAACCCUCAGACACAACACCUGAUAAGAAUGAGGAAUCAUACCAACUGCCUUAAUUAAUUGGCAUCGUUUUGUGAUUGGUUCGCUGAGAUCACCUGAUAUGUAAUUUCUCUAUAUCUGCUUUUCAAUUUCAAUAUUGUAAUAGCGGUUCCCUUUGUUUGUUUGUUUUGCUUCUUCCUGCCUGUAACUGCUGAUACUACACAACGCUACCUCAUUCCAGCUAGAGCCUGUCUUUUUUGACAAUAAGACUUGCUUGCUUUUUGUUAUAACCACUAAGCAAGCAUGGAUAAGGUUUAUAUUUUGAUUUUAGUUGGUUCAAUAGCCUUGUCUUUAUUUGCUCUCGUUCAACUAAUUGCAUGCAUAGUAUGCCAGCUGACUAUAGUUUGUUGAAUGGCACUGACUUCAAUAAACUUCAGAAAUAUGUUUUAAAGGCAA